GGUCCCUAUCUGCCGUGGGUGUAGGAGGUUUGAGAGGCUUUGUCCCUAGUACGAGAGGACCGGGAUGAACGUACCUCUGGUGGAGCUGUUGUCGCGCCAGCGGCAGUGCAGCAUAGCUACGUACGGACGGGAUAACCGCUGAAGGCAUCUAAGCGGGAAACCCCCCUUAAAACGAGACCUCCCUUGAGGGCCGUGGAAGACGACCACGUCGAUAGGCCGGGGGUGCAAGCGCGGCGACGCGUUGAGCCGACCGGUACUAAUCGCCCGAUUGGCUUGAUCGC
rnacentral:rRNA from 1 species